rnacentral:tRNA from 1 species
GGCCCUGUCGUCUAGAGGCCUAGGACACUACCCUUUCAAGGUAGGGACCGGGGUUCGAAUCCCCGCAGGGUCA